rnacentral:rRNA from 1 species
UACGUAGGGGGCAAGCGUUGUCCGGAAUCAUUGGGCGUAAAGAGCGUGUAGGCGGCCCGGUAAGUCCGCUGUGAAAGUCCAGGGCUCAACCCUGGGAUGCCGGUGGAUACUGUCGGGCUCGAGUCCGGAAGAGGAGAGUGGAAUUCCUGGUGUAGCGGUGAAAUGCGCAGAUAUCAGGAAGAACACCUAUGGCGAAGGCAGCUCUCUGGGACGGUACUGACGCUGAGACGCGAAAGCGUGGGGAGCGAACGGG